rnacentral:rRNA from 1 species
GAUGAACGCUGGCGGCGUGCCUAAUACAUGCAAGUCGAGCGAACAGAUAAGGAGCUUGCUCCUUUGACGUUAGCGGCGGACGGGUGAGUAACACGUGGGUAACCUACCUAUAAGACUGGGAUAACUUCGGGAAACCGGAGCUAAUACCGGAUAAUAUUUCGAACCGCAUGGUUCGAUAGUGAAAGAUGGUUUUGCUACCACUUAUAGAUGGACCCGCGCCGUAUUAGCUAGUUGGUAAGGUAACGGCUUACCAAGGCGACGAUACGUAGCCGACCUGAGAGGGUGAUCGGCCACACUGGAACUGAGACACGGUCCAGACUCCUACGGGAGGCAGCAGUAGGGAAUCUUCCGCAAUGGGCGAAAGCCUGACGGAGCAACGCCGCGUGAGUGAUGAAGGUCUUCGGAUCGUAAAACUCUGUUAUUAGGGAAGAACAUACGUGUAAGUAACUGUGCACGUCUUGACGGUACCUAAUCAGAAAGCCACGGCUAACUACGUG